rnacentral:rRNA from 1 species
GACGAACGCUGGCGGCGUGCUUAACACAUGCAAGUCGAACGGAAAGGCCCCCUUGUGGGGUACUCGAGUGGCGAACGGGUGAGUAACACGUGAGUAACCUGCCCUUGACUUUGGGAUAACUUCAGGAAACUGGGGCUAAUACCGGAUAGGAGCUCCUGCUGCAUGGUGGGGGUUGGAAAGUUUCGGCGGUUGGGGAUGGGCUCGCGGCUUAUCAGCUUGUUGGUGGGGUAGUGGCUCACCAAGGCUUUGACGGGUAGCCGGCCUGAGAGGGUGACCGGCCACAUUGGGACUGAGAUACGGCCCAGACUCCUACGGGAGGCAGCAGUGGGGAAUAUUGCACAAUGGGCGGAAGCCUGAUGCAGCAACGCCGCGUGCGGGAUGACGGCCUUCGGGUUGUAAACCGCUUUCGCCUGUGACGAAGCGUGAGUGACGGUAAUGGGUAAAGAAGCACCGGCUAACUACGUG